rnacentral:sRNA from 2 species
UCGCCCGUCAUUGGGGAGUAGCCGCCUCGCACCGCGAGGGCUUGCGUCAACACACUUGGCCUGUCCGGCCAUGGCGCAGGCAGCUGUCACAGCCUGGCAAGACCUUUGACUGCGUGUCCUCCGGUAUGGCCAGGGAGGCGCGCAGUCAUCCGUCUUUCCUGGCCUCGGACUCUC